AUGUUGUGGUUGGAAAUUUAUCUUAGUUGGAAAUUUUUCUCAACUAGUUGAAAAAUUUUCAACUGGUUGGUAAUUUUACAACCAGCUGAAAAUUUUCAAACCAGUGGAAAUUUUUCAAAUUGUGGUUCUGUCAUUCUAAAAGGGAUUAUAUUUUGGGGGGCUCAUUAAUAAAACAGGGGCUUGGAUUUUUAGGGGGUAUUUAAAAACAAAACACACCACUCUCCUACACCUGCUCUCCUCUCCCUCUCUCUCUCCUCUCCCACCACUCUACUUUCUACACUCUUACUUAUCUAUUUAUUCAUUACCCUACUAAGUGAGUUACCUGUGUCUAAUUUACAUUUUUUUUCUUACCUUACCGUGAUUCGAACCCUCAACCUUUCGCUCCGAAGUCAGUAGCCCUUACCACUUGACCACUAAGGCUUGUGACGAAAGAUGAGCGAUUAAAUCUUGCUUUAUUGUAAUAUUCAUGACGCGCCUUACGUCACGUUGUUAUAAAUGCACGCAUGCGUAUUAACGUGAAACAGAGACUUCAAAUCUUUUCACGAGCGUAGUGCAAACUUUUGUGGAUAAAAAGCAAAAAAUAUCACAAAAGACUAACUGUGCUGCCAUUACAAUGAAUUUACAACGUUUGAAAACAUGCCAGAACCUGUAUAGGGCUUAAAUAGAUGUUUCGUAUUCUAAAAUUGCGUACGUAAAAGCUCUGCGUGACUCGGACCUGGCGGCUUCGGAGGAGUCUAAAAUUACGCACUUUUGUCGAACGUAACUCAAGAUAGGUGCGAAAGCGAGUAUUGAAUGACUGACAUGUAAGACUGCACAAUAAUUAGAGCAAUAAUAGUGUUCUUUUAUUUCUCUUGAAUAAUUAUUUUUUGUCCUCUUCGUGGCAUCGUAAUUACUCGAUUUUGUGUAACAUUCUCUCUUCUGAAGAAGCCGAUGUUUAUGAAAUGUACCGCUGGAACAAGAACCUAUAGAAAAUGCUUUUAAUUAAUUAGACAUUUCGAUUGUGCUAAAGGUCAUUACUCGGAAAAUAUGAUAGUAAUUAGUUCUCCAUAUCAAUUGUUCUAAAAGUCAUUACUAGAACGAGGAAAGUUACAUUGUACUAAAAGCCAUUGCGUAUUGUACGAAUAAAGAAUGCUAUUCAACUCUCAUGUUCAUGUUCAGAAAUAAUGGGAUUUUCGACAAAGAAAAGGUAUAAAAACAGUGAGUUUGUCAUUGAACGAAACAUCAUCAUGGCGGAGGAAGUUGUGCCGUGUGUUGACCGCGCUUUAUUCCUAGAAAAGAUUACGGAAUUGAAGCUCCAAACCAAAAGUGAAAAAUCAGAAAUCAAUUUUUACAUUGAAGAUGGUUUGUAUGAAAAAGCAAAACAAUUUUUAAAGCAAAAAAAGUAGCGCAUUAGUGAUGAUCCAAUAGUUCUGUCGUCUGCCGACGAAAAUACUAUAAAACGGAAGAAAUGGUCCUAUGCCAACGGGAAGGUAUGGCCAACAUCUAUGACGCAUUGAAAUGCGCCCAAAUCAAUUAAUUAAAUAAAAAUAUCUUCUACACAG